rnacentral:rRNA from 1 species
GAUGAACGCUGGCGGCGUGCUUAACACAUGCAAGUCGAACGGAAAGGCCCUGCUUUUGUGAGGUGCUCGAGUGGCGAACGGGUGAGUAACACGUGAGUAACCUGCCCUUGACUUUGGGAUAACUUCAGGAAACUGGGGCUAAUACCGGAUAGGAGCUCCUGCUGCAUGGUGGGGGUUGGAAAGUUUCGGCGGUUGGGGAUGGACUCGCGGCUUAUCAGCUUGUUGGUGGGGUAGUGGCUUACCAAGGCUUUGACGGGUAGCCGGCCUGAGAGGGUGACCGGCCACAUUGGGACUGAGAUACGGCCCAGACUCCUACGGGAGGCAGCAGUGGGGAAUAUUGCACAAUGGGCGGAAGCCUGAUGCAGCAACGCCGCGUGCGGGAUGACGGCCUUCGGGUUGUAAACCGCUUUCGCCUGUGACGAAGCGUGAGUGACGGUAAUGGGUAAAGAAGCACCGGCUAACUACGUG